CUCGGCCUCCCAAAGUGCUGGGAUUACAGGUGUGAGCCACUGUGCCCAGCCCCAUGUUUCUCUUUUUGUAUUUACCAUCAUGGUCGAUCUCCCUAUUCUAUGAGGAAUAUCAAGAAAUCCAGGUGUCAUCCUAGAUCCCAGUAUCAGUCAUUUUAGGUAUUCAUAGUCAUGAAAUGCUCUAAAUUUUCUCUCUUAAAUAUCACUUCCAUUGUUCUCUACUUUCUGUUCCUAUUGCUGUGCCUCAGUUCUGGCUCUGUUCAUCUUAUUGCUACUGUAAUAAGUCUCCUGGUCUAUAGUCUGGCCCUUUGCUUUCAGGCUCUUUUUCUAAAGCACACUACUAAUUAUUUUUAUGCUCCCUGCUUAAAAGCAUUUACUGACUUAAUGUUGGAUAUAGGAUAAAAUUCAUUCUUCUUGCUGUGUCAUUUGAGAUUCUCAGCUCCUUGAUUCUUGCCUGUGUAUUUAGCCUUAUUUCUUGUGUCGCCACACUGCACCCAUUGUUUAAGACAUGCUUAACUACUUACAGGUCCCCUGAGGCACUGGGCCAUGUCAUGUCUUCAUGCCUUAGCUGAUGCUGCUGUCAUCCCAUGGCAUGCCUUCACAUUCUUCACAUGAUCAGACAACCACUGAUCUAUUUUUUUUUUUUAAUUACUUUUGGCCGGACAUGAUGGCUCACAUCUGUAAUCCUAGUACUUUGGGAGCCCGAGUUGGGUGGAUCACUUGAGGUCAGGAGUUCGAAGCCAGCCUGACCAACAUGGUGAAACCUUGUCUUUACUAAAAAAUUAGACAGGCAUGAUGGUGGGUGUCUGUAAUCUUACUUACUGAGGAGGCUGAGGCAGAGGAAUCACUUGAACCCAAGAGGCGGCAGUUGCAGUGAGCCAAGAUUGUACCACUGUACUCCAGCCUGGGUGAUGGAGCAAGACUCCAUCUAAAGAAAAAAAAUUAUUUCUGGUCAGUGUUCUGCCUGCUUCCGGACGAGCAAGAAGACUUGUGCUCCGGUUCUCGGACUUCCCCAGCAGCAUGGCCCCCAAACGCCAGUCUCCACUCCCGCCUCAAAAGAAGAAACCAAGACCACCUCCUGCUCAGGGACUGGUUGAGACAUCGGCCUCUGCAGGCUUGCCGAAGAAGGGAGAAAAAGAACAGCAAGAAGCAAUUGAACACAUUGAUGAAGUACAAAAUGAAAUAGACAGACUUAAUGAACAAGCCAGUUAGGAGAUUUUGAAAGUAGAACAGAAAUAUAACAAACUCCGCCAACCAUUUUUUCAGAAGAGGUCAGAAUUGAUCGCCAAAAUCCCAAAUUUUUGGGUAACAACAUUUGUCAACCAUCCACAAGUGUCUGCACUGCUUGGGGAGGAGGACGAAGAGGCACUGCAUUAUUUGACCAGAGUUGAAGUGACAGAAUUUGAAGAUAUUAAAUCAGGUUACAGAAUAGAUUUUUAUUUUGAUGAAAAUCCUUACUUUGAAAAUAAAGUUCUCUCCCAAAGAAUUUCAUCUGAAUGAGAGUGGUGAUCCAUCUUCAAAGUCCACUGAAAUCAAAUGGAAAUCUGGAAAGGAUUUGACAAAACGUUCAAGUCAAACGCAGAAUAAAGCCAGCAGGAAGAGGCAGCAUGAGGAACCAGAGAGCUUCUUUACCUGGUUUACUGACCAUUCUGAUGCAGGUGCUGAUGAAUUAGGAGAGGUCAUCAAAGAUGAUAUUUGGCCAAACCCAUUACAAUACUACUUGGUUCCUGAUAUGGAUGAUGAUGAAGGAGAAGAAGAUGAUGACGAUGAUGAAGAGGAGGAAGGAUUAGAAGACAUUGAUGAAGAAGGGGAUGAGGAUGAAGGUGAAGAAGAUGAAGAUGAUGAUGAAGGGGAGGAAGGAGAGGAGGAUGAAGGAGAAGAUGACUAAGAACACUGAUGGAUUCCAACCUUCCUUUUUUUAAAUUUUCUCCAGUCCCUGGGAGCAAGUUGCAGUCUUUUUUUUUUUUUUUCCCUUCCCUCUUGUGCUCAGUCACCCUGUUUUUGAGGUCUCUUUUCUCUACACCAUGGUUCUCAACUUAUUUUGGGGGGAAAUAUCUUGAGCAGGAUACAGUGGGAAAAGAGUCUCUACCCCUUUCUGUUUGAAAUUCAUUUUUAUCCCUUCCUGUCUUAACAAAAACUGUAUGGAAUCAAUACCACUGAGCUCUGUGGGAAAAAAGAAAAACCUGCUCCCUUCGCUCUGCUGGAAGCUGGAGGGUGCUAGGCCCCUGUGUAGUAGUGCAUAGAAUUCUAGCUUUUUUCCUCCUUUCUCUGUAUAUUGGGCUCAGAGAGUACACUGUGUCUCUAUGUGAAUAUGGACAGUUAGCAUUUACCAACAUGUAUCUGUCUACUUUCUCUUGUUUAAAAAAAAGAAAAAAAAACUUAAAAAAAUGGGGUUAUAGAAGGUCAGCAAAGGGUGGGUUUGAGAUGUUUGGGUGGGGUAAGUGGGCAUUGUGACAACAUGGCUUCUCCUUUGGCAUGUUUAAUUGUGACAUUUGACAGACAUCCUUGCAGUUUAAGAUGACACUUUUAAAAUAAAUUCUCUCCUAAUGAUGACUUGAGCCCUGCCACUCAAUGGGAGAAUCAGCAGAACCUGUAGGAUCUUAUUUGGAAUUGACAUUCUCUAUUGUAAUUUUGUUCCUGUUUAUUUUUAAAUUUUCUUUUUGUUUCACUGGAAAGGAAAGAUGAUGCUCAGUUUUAAACGUUAAAAGUGUACAAGUUGCUUUGUUACAAUAAAACUAAAUGUGUACACAAAGGAUUUGAUGCUCUUCUCUCAGCACAGGUCUGCUCACUAUGACCUUCCAAGUUUGACUUGGACAACAUCACUGUCAAACUUUGUCACCCUAACUUCGUAUUUUUUGAUAUGCACUUUGCAGGAUGACCUCAGGGCUAUGUGGAUUGAGUAACGGGAUCUGAAUCAAUGUAUUGAUACCGCCAUAGCUGGGAAAGUGGGUACAAUUUGCCAUUGGUUUCUGAAAGUACUCACAUCAUUUGGGAUACCAGAUUGCUCAAUACUUUGAGUAUAUUGUGCCCUUGAUUUUUAUCUCCAAGUGGCAGUUUUUAAAAUUGGCCAUUUACCUGGAUAUAAAAUAAUAGUACCUGCCACCACCAUCCAACAGACCUGGUGCUCUCAUGCCAAGUUAUAUGUGGGACAGUUACUGGCAUGUCUUCAUUGGCUAUAUAAAAUGUGGCCAAGGAGAUAGGCUCUCAGAGUAGGAGUCUGCGAUGGUUGGCGGUAACUGUCCCAGCUCUCUGGUAUAAAGUUCUCAAAUGUGACUAUGUGAAUCUGGGUGGAAUAAUGGACUCAGCUCUGUCUGCUCAAUGCCAUUGUGCAGAGAAGCACCCUAAUGCAUAUGCUUUUUAAUGCUGUAAAAUAUAGUAGCUGAAAUUAAAUGCCACUUUUUCAGAGGUGAAUUAAUGGACAGUCUGGUGAAAUUCAAAAGCUUUUUGAUGUAUAAAACUUGAUAAAUGGAACUAUUCCAUCAAUAGGCAAAAGUGUAACAACCUGUCUAGAUGGAUAGUAUGUAAUUUCUGCACAGGUCUCUGUUUAGUAAAUACUUCACUGUAUACCGAUCAGGAAUCUUGCUCCAAUAAAGGAACAUAAAGAUUU